rnacentral:rRNA from 1 species
UACGGAGGGUGCAAGCGUUAUCCGGAUUCACUGGGUUUAAAGGGUGCGUAGGCGGGCAGGUAAGUCAGUGGUGAAAUCUCCGAGCUUAACUCGGAAACUGCCGUUGAUACUACUUGUCUUGAAUAUUGUGGAGGUAAGCGGAAUAUGUCAUGUAGCGGUGAAAUGCUUAGAUAUGACAUAGAACACCAAUCGCGAAGGCAGCUUACUACACAAUGAUUGACGCUGAGGCACGAAAGCGUGGGGAUCAAACAGG